rnacentral:rRNA from 1 species
UCUGAUGCAGCAACGCCGCGUGGAGGAUGACGCAUUUCGGUGUGUAAACUCCUUUUAUAAGGGAAGAUAAUGACGGUACCUUAUGAAUAAGCACCGGCUAACUCCGUGCCAGCAGCCGCGGUAAUACGGAGGGUGCAAGCGUUACUCGGAAUCACUGGGCGUAAAGGAUGCGUAGGCUGGAAAUCAAGUCGAGAGUGAAAUCCAACGGCUCAACCGUUGAACUGCUCUCGAAACUGGUUACCUAGAAUAUGGGAGAGGUAGAUGGAAUUGGUGGUGUAGGGGUAAAAUCCGUAGAUAUCACCAGGAAUACCGAUUGCGAAGGCGAUCUACUGGAACAUUAUUGACGCUGAGGCAUGAAAGCGUGGGGAGCAAACAGGAUUAGAUACCCUGGUAGUCCACGCCCUAAACGAUGCACACUAGUUGUUGCGAUGCUAGUCAUUGCAGUAAUGCACUUAACAGAUUAAGUGUGCCGCCUGGGGAGUACGGUCGCAAGAUUAAAACUCAAAGGAAUAGACGGGGACCCGCACAAGCGGUGGAGCAUGUGGUUUAAUUCGAAGAUACACGAAGAACCUUACCUGGCCUUGAUAUCCUAAGAAUCCUUUAGAGAUAAGGGAGUGCUAGUUUACUAGAACUUAGAGACAGGUGCUGCACGGCUGUCGUCAGCUCGUGUCGUGAGAUGUUGGGUUAAGUCCCGCAACGAGCGCAACCCUCGUGAUUAGUUGCUAACAGUUCGGCUGAGCACUCUAAUCAGACUGCCUUCGCAAGGAGGAGGAAGGUGAGGACGACGUCGAGUCAUCAUGGCCCUUAUGGCCAGGGCUACACACGUGCUACAAUGGCUAGGACAAAGAGACGCGAUACUGCGAAGUGGGAGCAAAUCUUAAAACCUAGUCUCAGUUCGGAUUGGAGUCUGCAACUCGACUCCAUGAAGCUGGAAUCGCUAGUAAUCGUAGAUCAGAUAUGCUACGGUGAAUACGUUCCCGGGUCUUGUACUCACCGCCCG